rnacentral:rRNA from 1 species
CCUACGGGUGGCAGCAGUGGGGAAUAUUGGGCAAUGGGGGCAACUCUGACCCAGCAACGCCGCGUGAAUGAUGAAGGUCUUCGGGUUGUAAAGUUCUUUUCUAAGGGAAGAGGAGAGUACCGUUACCGUCGAAAUAGGCCUCGGCUAACUACGUGCCAGCAGCCGCGGUAAAACGUAGGAGGCAACCGUUAUCCGGAAUGACUGGGCGUAAAGGGUGGGUAGGUGGUUUGACAAGUUAGUAGCGAAACUCCGGAGCUCAACUUCGGAACUACUAUUAAAACUGUUGGACUUGAGUGCCGGAGGGGCAAUCGGAAUUCCUAGUGUAGCGGUGGAAUGCGUAGAUAUUAGGAGGAACACCAGUUGCGAAGGCAGAUUGCUAGACUGUAACUGACACUGAGGCACGAAAGCGUGGGGAGCAAACAGGAUUAGAUACCCGUGUAGUC